ensembl:lncRNA
GUGAAGUCCACCUGGCUGGGGCUUCCCUUGUUCACCAAAGGAGAGCAGAGCAAUCCUCACCGACCUGAGGGAGCCUGAUUGUCAUGUUUUGAAAGAUGACACGUCCUGCUGGGAGAACAGCAAAAAUUGCCAGAAAACAUUUAAGUUGGUAUUUGUUUCAGUUGGAGUAUGGCAGAAAUGGCAGCGCCCCGAAGGCAAGAGAUGAGACCCACAGAGCUGAGCACAUCCCCAGUCCGACAGCAGUGACCCUCCUGGCAGGGCAGGGAACUGGCAGCUGCUUUGGGAUGUGACAAAAGGAGCAUCAUGCUGGAAGCACGUAGUGCUCGAUAAGAUAUUCCUUCUGUAGACACAGAAAGGAAAUAACCUUGGAGGCCAGAGAUAUUCCUGGCAGCGGGACGUGGAGCUGUUUGCACUACUGAUGCUGUGCUCUUGUACUCUUACUAAAUGGAGCAGAGCAAUUCCCAUUGCUCUCAACCUGGAUUCCGUUGCCAGCGCGCAGUUCACUUGGAAAGCUCUGGUCUGAUCACACACAUUCAGCACAUGCUUUUAUAAGUGGUUUCCAGCACUCUCCAUAGAAAGAAGGGAAAGGGAUUAUGAUCCUGUGGAGACUUUGGAAAGAACUGAGCAUAACCUUGGUGUCCAGGCUGACAUUCAAGAUCUUCAAGGCUAUGAGCUCUGCUGCUCUUUUGCACUGCUCCAAGGCAGUGGACCAAACAAAGACAAUCAGAGGUGGCUGAACUUCUCGUUUCCAAAGGCAUCUCCCCACACAGGUCCAUCUUGUCAUCGGUACUUUGCUGAUUGCUCCCAGUGUGUGGAGAGCUCAUGCAUAAAAGCAACAUCUGUUUUUUUCUCCUUUUCUACCAUUUCAUUCCAUUCAAUGCAUUUUUUUUUUCUUCCUGAAAUGCUCCAAGACAGGAUUCCAAGCCUGACACGCUUGGAUUUUACUGGGUUCUUUGCACACGUCUCUGGCAACGGUCUGUAACCCUAAUUAUGAUGGUUAGCAGAAGUUCAGUACAACUGAACUCAGAACUAAAGCCCCAGAGCUGCCUUUCCUACCUGAAACCAGGAUGUCAGGACUGCUCAAAUUGGGCAUGGCUGCUGAGGAACCCUGUUGGUGCUUCUCCAACGUCAGGCUGCUUCUCCAUGACCACCCCUUGGAGCCCUGUUGAGCCACCAGGUCCACCAGACCCAGGCUGGGUUAAGUCAAAUGAAGCAUGAGACAAAACAGGGAGUUCCCUAUCAUUUUUCCCCAGGAGCCUUGGACACGUCCUGGGAGAAAGGUGAGAGCUUCCCUCUUGCAGAGUCAUGACAACAUGGUUCCUACCCCAUAGCAUUGGGUUCCAGAGCUGGAUUACUCAAACCUUCCCUUUUUUCAUAAUUUUCCAGUACACACUGCUGUCCUUGCAGGAAACAGGGCGGCAGUAGCUAUUGUAUCAGAGCUCACUAAAUCUUUCAGGAGUUCUGGGUGUUUGGGCUCAUGCCCCGAGGCGCAUUUCCAUCCCUGUUUCUGUUGCUGCUCUUUGGUUCUGCAGUAGCUCUGCCGAAUCCUUUUUCCAAUUUAGACUCCCGUUCCCAGGGGAAUUGCAUUGCGAUCCCCCCUUGCUUCCUUCUGGGAGUCUCUCUGUUUGAGCUUAGAACUUUGAAGGAAACAUGAGCAACAGCCAUAAAAUCUCCAUCUCCAUUGUCUCUGGAACGGCAGCGUGCAUGCAGCUGAUUGUGUAUCCAGGGCUCUGCGUCUCUGAAGCCUUGUUGCAAUGUGAUCUCUGUGCUGUCCCUUCCCGGAUGCUACGAUCAGCUCUGCCUUCCUUUGCAGGUUCAGCAGCUGAGGCUCUCGUGCCAGAGGACAGUCCAGGUUUUGAAGGUGUGGUUCUCAAGUUCACCAGAGCCUCAGGCCAGGCUGUGCUCAGAGCCUUGUUCCCUUUCCCACUGGACCAUCUGAUUACAAAUAACCGUGACUGGAUGUUGGAUGUCGAAAUCCAUAAUCCCCUGCAAAUUGUUUAAAGUCUUGUACAUUGAAAUGCAGACCAUUAUCAGACAGACCAAUUUAUGGGAUUCCAUGUCUGGCAAAUGCAAAUGCAAUGUAUCCUAUGACUUGUUUCGAUGUCAGAUUCUUUGUAUUAUUGGAUAAUAUUAUAUAGUUCCAGGCUCAUGUGAAUAAUAACCCCAAUUAAUAUGAUCUUUGCCAAAACAUAUAAAUAAGUCCAUUUUAGACAGCUCAAGUAUUUCCUUGUCAAGUUAUUUUAUUUUUAAGUCCCCCUUUUUACUUUACGAGUUACUUUUCUCUGCAUUAAUCCAUGAGCAGCACACUGCAUCACAGUCUCUCCUUUUAUUUUACUCUAAAUGGCAAAUGGGGAAUAGCACUUCCAUGCCCAAAAAUCCUUGCUGACGCUUGUGCUGGAGGACUUGGAUCAGACUUCGCACAGUUGUACAGUGCUGUGAGAGAGAUCUUCAAAUCUUUUUCCCUUUUGCUGGGAUAAACUUUACCAUACCUGAUAUGUGCAGUCUGCACAAAGUGUUGUGGUGCAGGUUUCCCCAGGCAAGACCUACACAGCCAACAGAGGGUCAACUGCAGCAGAGAUGGACAAUGUCUUGUUGCUCCAUUCUUCCUGGGCUCAGUGCUGCAUUAACAGGGCCAUUGUGCUUUGGGUACCCAAGUGACAGGCUAUGGGCAGUGGGACGUGUUUUACAGUUGUCUAUAUUUUGCUUGGAGCAAACUCACAGGUCUCAAAGUCCCUCAUUUUUCAGUGGAGACAUGUUAAGAUACUUAAAAUGCUGUUUGCAGUCAUUCG